UCAACUACAAUAUGUCACGGUCAAUAGAACAAGAAGCAUGGCUUUUUGGGCAAUUAUAGAGGUUUGGUUAGAGAAGAAAUUAGGGACUCGAGUGGCCCAAUGCAAUGGUUGAAAUUAGCUUAAGAUCUCUCUCUGUGCCAACUACUUAGAGCCCUCCGUCGAUCUAAUGAUGAGGACUCAGGAUAUGGGCUUGAUACAAGGAGACGAUUAAUAUUUAUCACAAAUUAUUUUUGUAAAAUUAUGGCAUACGCCCAGCAUAGCGUGAUGAAGUUGAACUCUUAACAACAAUGUGAGUCUCACAUGUUGGUAGACCUAAUUAUUGUUUGUUAGAAGCUUACUAAUCCCCCUAACCCAACUUUUUUUUCUCUAGUUUUAGUUUUUCUCUCCUGUUUCUUGCCGUUUAGUGGUCACCUCUGCCCCUUCUGGGUAGGGGUGGCCUUCUCCUUCCUACCCAGAUGUGGGUUUCCCUCUCCCACAUUUGGGUGGGUUGUGUAUAGUUAUUUUUUGGGUUGUUUUGCAGGUUGGAACUUCAUGGUUGAGGGUGUAUGUUUGAACCUACUAUGUUAGGUUAGUGUUCUGUGAUCUGUAGGAAAGGGAUGUCUCGGAAACGCUCAUGGAGUUGCUCUUGUAACUCUCGGUCUCUUAAAGCCUGCAAGGCCUAAACUCACCCUCCUUCUUUGUUUUCGGUGACCAUGGCCUGCUUUCGUUUUUUACAGGAGCUGCUAGCAUAAAUCCUUCUCUGAUCAGGGGAUCUUUUGCUGGGACAUCCUUCAGGAGAUUUGGCCAAGUCUAGUCCUUUGCGGUGCACCAAGCUUGGUGCUUGUUUCUUCCCAACAGAAGGGUCUACAACUCCUCUGGUUUUGGUGCUCAACCCAGUGCGUCAUGGUUUUGAUUGUGUCCUAGCUUGAUGGCAAUUCCUUGAGGUGUAGUUUGUGAGGUUUCUUUAUUCAGGCGAUGUAGCCAUAUCUCAUCCCCAUUGGUGCUUCAUGAGGGGAUCUUUCUCCCCGCCGGCGUUGUGGUUUGUCCGUAUGUGGCGCUUUGAGCCUCGUCCUGUAGGAGGUGUUGGUUUCUCUUCCGGGUAUGGGUUCGGAUAUGGAGAUACAGAGUUAGGGUUUUCUUUUGGGUUGGGCUUACUUGUACGUUGGGGUUGGUUAAGUUCAAGCUUUGGCCAUAGAGUUUUCUUUGUACUGGGCUUAGAAGUCUUCCUUUAAUGAAUGAAAUCUAUCUUAUGGGAAAAAAAAUUAUUAUUUGUUAGAUUAAAAUUAUUUUUUUUUUAAAUAAAAACUUGAAAAAUUUCAACAAUAACAAGAAAUUAUAGUAACUAUUCAAAUAAUAAUUUUUAAAUUUAAGAUUUAAAAAUAUUGUUAUUAGUCAAAUAAAAUAUUUUUAAAUUUUAUAAAUGAGUUAGUAUAUUAAAUAAAUGAGCUAAAUGAAAUAAGUAGAAAGAGAAAAACAAAUGGCUUGAUAUCGUAGUGGUUGAUAAUAAAUAAAAUAUUUUAAAAAUAAUUACUUUCAAAUAAUAUAUAUUUCGUGCAUUUUGGCAAUGGUAAAUAGUAUUUCUCGGAAUAAUCCCUUCAAGAUGCAAAUGAAUUUAUUUUCCCUACGACAGCGUUUGGUGAAGAUCGGGCAUCAGGUUCUUUGCCUAAGUUUUGCAGACGACGACGUUUUAGCUUUAAUCUCCUUUCGUCUGGAUUCAAAAUCUAAUUUGCCUUGCGGUCAACUAAUCAAAUGGCGAGGAUUGACAUUUGACCAGAACGUCCAGGUUUUGUUCUGGAAAUGGGUUUUUUUCCCUUGUGAAGAAGAUGAAAUGGCCAAAUGGGUAAAGCCAAAUUCUCAAUCCCCCAUUCAAUGAUUCAGAUGAGACCCACUUCAAGUUUCUCUCUCUCUCUCUCUCUCUCUCUCUUAGAUUUGUAAAUUUUUGCCGUUUGUUUAUGGAGACCAGCUUUUCCUUUAUUUCUCUUUUCCUUUACUGUUGCUGCUGUUCUUAUAUUAUAAAUCACAUGCAGCUAGGAACAUUCUAAAGCAUAUGUUCCUUGCACUUUAUCAAAAUCGGCUGAUCAAUUUUUUUUGUGCCUUGAGAUGAAGGGUGACUGGUCAUGGUCCAAGCAAUACAACCACAACUUGAAUGUGUUGUUAAUGUGCUGAUUCUCUUCUUUUUUAUCCUCCAAUUAAAGUAAAAGAGCUGAAUGAGUUGUUGCUUUCUAUUUAUCAAAUACUUCGUAUGGUAAAUCAUCAGAAUAUUUAUGCA